rnacentral:rRNA from 1 species
AGAUUGAACGCUGGCGGCAGGCCUAACACAUGCAAGUCGAGCGGCAGCACGGGUACUUGUACCUGGUGGCGAGCGGCGGACGGGUGAGUAAUGCCUAGGAAUCUGCCUGAUAGUGGGGGAUAACGCUCGGAAACGGACGCUAAUACCGCAUACGUCCUACGGGAGAAAGCAGGGGACCUUCGGGCCUUGCGCUAUCAGAUGAGCCUAGGUCGGAUUAGCUAGGUUGGUGGGGUAAUGGCUCACCAAGGCGACGAUCCGUAACUGGUCUGA